AACGAACGCUGGCGGCAUGCCUAACACAUGCAAGUCGAACGAAGGCUUCGGCCUUAGUGGCGCACGGGUGCGUAACGCGUGGGAAUCUGCCCUUUGCUUCGGAAUAACAGUUAGAGAUGACUGCUAAUACCGGAUGAUGUCGCAAGACCAAGGAUUUAUCGGCAAAGGAUGAGCCCGCGUAGGAUUAGCUAGUUGGUGGGGUAAAGGCCUACCAAGGCGACGAUCCUUAGCUGGUCUGAGAGGAUGAUCAGCCACACUGGGACUGAGACACGGCCCAGACUCCUACGGGAGGCAGCAGUGGGGAAUAUUGGACAAUGGGCGAAAGCCUGAUCCAGCAAUGCCGCGUGAGUGAUGAAGGCCUUAGGGUUGUAAAGCUCUUUUACCCGGGAUGAUAAUGACAGUACCGGGAGAAUAAGCUCCGGCUAACUCCGUG
rnacentral:rRNA from 1 species